CAACACUUAGAAAACACUGAUCAUGGACUGCUCUCGCUCAUCCUCUUAGGUUCAGCGUAUUUUAUCAACUAUCCAGCACAAAAUCACCCCACUACAACUGACCACAGGAGAGGGAUGGUGCACAAGGAAGUGGGGGGAGGCAACAGGAAAGAUGCCUGAGAAAGCUCCAGGUUCAAGAGCAACUCCACAGGCAAACCAGCUCCAGGCACAGUUGGAUGGCACGGGCCCCACCCCGCCUGGAGGCUGAGCAUCCUUCAGAACCUGCAGCUUUCCUCUUCGGGAUUCCCUCGGCCUCACCCUGUUUGCUGGGAAGGACUCAGCUCAGAGACACCCUCUCUGGAAAGCCUGUCUGGCCCUUGCCACUGUGAAGGGACACCCUACUCUGAGCUCCACUUGUCACACAUUGUCCUGUACUGCAAUCAGCACUUACUGGGCUAAGUGCCCCAUCACAUUUCGAACUUUUUGGUAAAUUAAUAACCAGGAAUUAAGUUGAAAGUCCAUCAAAUUGGAAACCACAGAGUUUGAAGGAAUGCCACAUCCGCCUUCUGAGCAGACUCUGUAACCCAUCUCCAGCUGAGGCUGUUUACAAAUGAACAGUCAAUCUCUGACAACACAGGUACCACUUGGCACAUGUCUGCUGUCUCAACACUCAGGAGGCAGAGGCCAGAAGAUGGCAAGCUCGAGGUCAACCCAGCUUACACAGUUUUGAAGAUGGGGAAGGAAGAGUGGCAAAAGGAAGCACUGGUUGGACCAGCCAUUGCCACCCAACCUCAAGCUUUACACGGUGGUUAGAGGUACAGAGAGCAUUUUCCAAGAUAAUAAUGGAGAUAAGAGCCAACAGAUGUAUUUAUGCCGGACAAAUUGCCUAAUGCUGCUUCUGACUUCACAGUUCUGGGGCUGAAGGUCACAUAGAGGUCAUUCAAUCCCAUGCCCUGUUGGUUUUGUCAGCCCCCCACAGAGCUAAUGAACAGCUAGCA